GACGAACGCUGGCGGCGUGCUUAACACAUGCAAGUCGAACGGAAAGGCCCUGCUUUUGUGGGGUGCUCGAGUGGCGAACGGGUGAGUAACACGUGAGUAACCUGCCCUUGACUUUGGGAUAACUUCAGGAAACUGGGGCUAAUACCGGAUAGGAGCUCCUGCUGCAUGGUGGGGGUUGGAAAGUUUCGGCGGUUGGGGAUGGACUCGCGGCUUAUCAGCUUGUUGGUGGGGUAGUGGCUUACCAAGGCUUUGACGGGUAGCCGGCCUGAGAGGGUGACCGGCCACAUUGGGACUGAGAUACGGCCCAGACUCCUACGGGAGGCAGCAGUGGGGAAUAUUGCACAAUGGGCGGAAGCCUGAUGCAGCAACGCCGCGUGCGGGAUGACGGCCUUCGGGUUGUAAACCGCUUUCGCCUGUGACGAAGCGUGAGUGACGGUAAUGGGUAAAGAAGCACCGGCUAACUACGUGCCAGCAGCCGCGGUGAUACGUAGGGUGCGAGCGUUGUCCGGAUUUAUUGGGCGUAAAGGGCUCGUAGGUGGUUGAUCGCGUCGGAAGUGUAAUCUUGGGGCUUAACCCUGAGCGUGCUUUCGAUACGGGUUGACUUGAGGAAGGUAGGGGAGAAUGGAAUUCCUGGUGGAGCGGUGGAAUGCGCAGAUAUCAGGAGAAACACCAGUGGCGAAGGCGGUUCUCUGGGCCUUUCCUGACGCUGAGGAGCGAAAGCGUGGGAGCGAACAGGCUUAGAUACCCUGGUAGUCCACGCUGUAAACGGUGGGUACUAGGUGUGGGGUCCAUUCCACGGGUUCCGUGCCGUAGCUAACGCUUUAAGUACCCCGCCUGGGGAGUACGGCCGCAAGGCUAAAACUCAAAGGAACUGACGGGGCCCCGCACAAGCGGCGGAGCAUGCGGAUUAAUUCGAUGCAACGCGUAGAACCUUACCUGGGUUUGACAUGGAUCGGGAGUGCUCAGAGAUGGGUGUGCCUCUUUUGGGGUCGGUUCACAGGUGGUGCAUGGCUGUCGUCAGCUCGUGUCGUGAGAUGUUGGGUUAAGUCCCGCAACGAGCGCAACCCUUGUUCACUGUUGCCAGCACGUUAUGGUGGGGACUCAGUGGAGACCGCCGGGGUCAACUCGGAGGAAGGUGGGGAUGACGUCAAGUCAUCAUGCCCCUUAUGUCCAGGGCUUCACGCAUGCUACAAUGGCUGGUACAGAGAGUGGCGAGCCUGUGAGGGUGAGCGAAUCUCGGAAAGCCGGUCUCAGUUCGGAUUGGGGUCUGCAACUCGACCUCAUGAAGUCAGAGUCGCUAGUAAUCGCAGAUCAGCAACGCUGCGGUGAAUACGUUCCCGGG
rnacentral:rRNA from 1 species